rnacentral:rRNA from 1 species
CCUACGGGAGGCAGCAGUGGGGGAUAUUGCACAAUGGGGGGAACCCUGAUGCAGCGACGCCGCGUGGGUGAAGAAGCGCCUCGGCGCGUAAAGCCCUGUCAGCAGGGAAGAAAAUGACGGUACCUGAAGAAGAAGCCCCGGCUAACUACGGGCCAGCAGCCGCGGUUAUACGUAGGGGGCAAGCGUUAUCCGGAUUUACUGGGUGUAAAGGGGGCGGAGACGGCGAUGGAAGCCAGGAGUGAAAGCCCGGGGCCCAACCCCGGGACUGCUCUUGGAACUGCGUGGCUGGAGUGCAGGAGGGGCAGGCGGAAUUCCUGGUGUAGCGGUGAAAUGCGGAGAUAUCAGGAGGAACACCGGUGGCGAAGGCGGCUUGCUGGACUGCAACUGACGUUGAGGCCCGAAAGCGUGGGGAGCAAACAGGAUUAGAUACCCUUGUAGUC